CACGUAGGGGGCGAGCGUUUGUCCGGAUUUAUUGGGCGUAAAGAGCUCGUAGGCGGCUCAGUAAGUCAGGUGUGAAAACUCCAGGCUCAACCUGGAGACGCCACUUGAUACUGCUGUGGCUAGAGUCCGGUAGGGGAGCAUGGAAUUCCUGGUGUAGCGGUGAAAUGCGCAGAUAUCAGGAAGAACACCCGUGGCGAAGGCGGCUCUCUGGGACGGUACUGGACGCUGAGGAGCGAAAGCGUGGGGAGCGAACAGG
rnacentral:rRNA from 1 species